rnacentral:tRNA from 1 species
CAGAAGUGACUUGUUUGGUCUCUGAUUCUUGCACUCAGGCACAAGACAACCUGACAUUUCAGGAGAUGGUCUGUCAGAAUUGGAUCUCUGAGUGGGGUGGCUCUUGAUAGGGAUCCCUGUUAACUGUGACUAGAAUCCUGAGAAGAGAAAAACCUUCCUGAAAUGGGCAUAUCCCUGGCUGGCCUGGAACCAACCUUUCGGACUUAGGACUAUGGGAAGAAUAGGGGGAGAUUCUCUAGUGAUGAUAAUACAUGAAUGCUUUAAAAGCUAGAACAGGCGUCCCUGGGUGGUCUUGAACUACUCACCGUUCGGUUAAUAGCCGAACGCUCUGACCGAUUGCGCCACAGAGACAGGUACUAGCGAUUCCACUGGGCGCUAUAGGCAGGGCGCACUCACCGAACUCCCCAAUCCCUUCCAGCCUCAGAGCCCGCCUGGCAGGACUACUGAGCAAGGCCUUGGAAAAUCGGAGCGAUUAGAGCGGUUCAAACAAUACAGAAGUGUAUAAAGUAAGAAUUGAAAGUCUCUUCGCUGCUCUAAUCUCACUCCUCAGAGGUGAUCACUGGACCUGAGUGAGCAGAAGGCUUUUCAGAAUUACAGCCUGAACUAUUUCUUGAGCAAUUUGGGAACUCAUUUCUAAAGCAGUCCUCAGAUUCACACAACGUAGUUUGUGACGGAGUAUGCCCAGAGCAGUGUGGAAGAUGAUCAAAGUAUGACAUUUCUUCUACCCCAGAGGCUGGCAUUUCUGCAGGCACAAAUGAGCUUGGUUUUCAAGCACUGCUCUUUGAACACAAGGAAUUCCUUUAAUGAUCACGCCGGACUAUAUAGACUUUGGAAUCAGACUCUUUGAAUUCCAGCUCUGCCAUUUACCAACUUUGACACUUUGGGGUUUUGGAAAUCUGGAUUGUAGCAGGGCAUUGUGGAUCUGCCUGUUGGUGGAGAACCCUAGACUGCAUGCAGCCAUGCACAUGAUCUGGAGACACAGCAGAGACAAGGUCUUUGUCUGUUGCUCAGGAUGGAGUGUAGUGGUGCCAUAGCACACUGUAAUCUUGAAUUUCUGGACUACUGGCAUACACCACCAUGCUUAGGUUCGGGCCACAACAUCCGUGACUUUACCGGUUUUGGUCUCUUCCUUGUAACUUUCGGCUCCAGGAUGCUGCGCAGCUCCUCUCUGCACUAUCUAUCAGAACGUUGCUCUGCGUGCUUGAAAGUUUCGCCAAACAGAAGUACACAAAAACAAACAGAGGCGAAACACAAAUCCCCUCAGCCCUGGAGGAAAAGGCCUUGAAGCUCUUCCAGUGCAGAGGCCACGCAGAGGACAUGCUCCUACCUGUGCACAUCGGCCACGCCUGGGGUGCCUCCUGGAGUCCAGGCUGCUGGCGAUGGAAUCCAUCAUGUUGCUGAUGUCACUACUCUCAACUCCUGAUGGCAUCAGAACACAGGCAGCAUCAAGAUCAGGCUCAAGAUGCAGGAUUUUAUCAUCCAAAUCAGGCCCACAUAUGGAUGAAACCCUUCAGGUAUUCUGCACAUCUCUCAGGAAACCCAGAUGAAAUUGAGUGCCUGCUGCCCACAUCAGCAACCCAGACAUCCCACUUGAUUCUGCUUCUGGAGCCUAAGAUGGGAAAAUGGCAGGUGUCGCAGGUUGCAGGGGAAGGUCGGAGACCAGUUGAGGGCCCCGGAGUCUGUCUGGAAAGAGUUUUCCAUCCAGCCCGUCUCGGUUUCCGCAUCCGUGUGAGUCCUUUAUGACGUCGGGAAUGCCAAGGUCUGAGUCCUUUAUGAUGUUCAGGGUGCCCCGGUCUCACCCCGGGAGCCUCCUCGCUCCGGCCUGCUCCUGGCUACCCGGUGGGCGGCUCUGGCCCCAGCGACCCGCUACUGUUUCUCCAUGCGCUGCCACUUCGCAAAGGCACAUCUCUAGGUCAGUGGUCAGCUGCAGCCAGGGCGCUGCAACUCGCUCCAGGACUCGGGAAUCAGGGCCUUGGUGGGCCUCGCAGAGUGCUGGGUGUGUCGCCUGCGGGCUCCUCUUUUGGAGAAAGGAGGGAGGGAAAGGCCUUGUGAGACGACUCCAGGAGCGACCAGCGACCCCCACAAGGCCCAAGUCCUCCCAGCGCACUCAGAAACAGUCACUUAAAUGGCAAUAAGGUUGAGAAAGACUCUCCCGUGCCCCCGUGCUGGUGUAGUGGCUGUGAUUCAGUCCUUUCACCACCGCAUCCCGGGUUCGAUUACCGGUCAGGGAGUUGUUUUGCACUGACUGCCCACCCGCAGUAAUCUUUCUUUACUCCGCUGUCAGCCGGCCUGCUCCAAGAGCCAGAGGCAGAAGAGUCUCCCUGCAAGGUGCAAACCCUGGCGAAGGAGGGCAAGUCCUGGUGGACGGCCUCUCAUGACACACCCUCUUAUUUAUCUCCGUGUCCACCAUUCGCAGAAGGGGCUUUAGAGAGCGACUGAGCGUCUCGCUCAGGUGUACACCACCGUGCAGAGAUGGCAGCUCUCCUGGAGGUGUACCCAAGAAGCCCACCAUCUUUGCCGCCUCCGCCAUCCCAGAGGCGCCGAUUGGGCUGAGCUGCAAAUAACUAAGAGAGAGAGAGGCCAAGCCAAGUCGUGGCGUUUGUGUGCGGCACACGUCGUCAGCUGACACAGGCGGUCAGCUGAGCCUCCUCACCUCAGUUCGCAGCUAACAUGCUUCUUAGGCCUUCGGAAGAGGCGACAGGAGGCGAUGGCCGCGAGGUUGGGAGGGGGGUGAGCGGCGGGUGAGGUCCUCCAGGACCGCCCAUUUAUUGACUGGGUGGUACAGGAGGGCGAUGUUCGCUUACCCAACAACGACAGCAGGUGGAGUAGGCACUAAUGGAAAACUGUGGCCGGUGCCCUAAGCAGAAGGCAGGUGUAAAAAUCACUAGGACAUCAAAGGGAUAGUACCACAGUCAAAUCCCGCAAUGUCUGUCUACACUCUACCAAGCAAUUGUGCACCCUCCCCCUUUUCCAUUCAGUACUCCCAAGAAGGGUUGGGACGAACCCUGUGUCCACUGUAAAGCUCAGGGGAGAGCGGGAGCGAGGGAGGUGAAGUGCACAGACUGGGCAGAGGCGGCGGGCAGAACUGCGGGGGUGAGAGGGCGCGGUGGCUGCGGGGCGGGAGCCUCUGCUGAAAGGAGGCCUGGGUUGUCCUGUGGGUGACUGUUGGUGGAAUCUUUGGCAGCGAGUGGUUGGAAGAAUGGCGACGGGCGAGCAGAGGGGAAGGUGGUGACCCUGAGCGUCUGGCUAGGGGAGAGGAGGCUGUACUGACACUCGUCUCCUCUUACCUGGCGAGGGACAGACCGUGGUCAAGAAGGGAGCUCUCCCUGGUUGAGGCUAGUCCACCACACUCCAGCUGCUCUGACCCCUGCGAUUUCCCUACACGCGGGGCGCUUGUCUGCGGUGGUGUUUGCGCUACCCGGGGGCUGGGUUCACGCAGGCUCCUGACAGUCCUUGGCUCACCGCCCCCGACGCGGAUAUCGCCGCUAGAGACCCUUCCGCCACCCUCCUAGGGAUCUUGAGGGCCUUCCUUGUUGUUCCGACUGAAGCUCACGAACAGACAGAUGUGAGCUCUCUGUCUUUUACACGUUGAAUUUGGCUAUUGGCAAAAAAAGCCCUGACCCAGAGCUUGGGACUCCUCCCGGCCUGCACACGACUUCCCGACUCUUGCCUCCUAGCGCGGCUCUUGGCUAGCGGGCGGGCAGCCUCCACCCAGCGUAGAACCGCGGCAGCCGCAGCCCCCGCAGGCUGGCGGUCAGACACUAGCAGGAAAAGGGACACAAGGCCUGCGUGGUGGGAAAGCAUGGGAGACGUCGCUUUCCCACCAGGCGAGAAGGUCUCCCUACAGUCUUUGGACAGAAGAUGGAGGGAGGCACCCCUUCCAGGAGCAAGGCGGCUGCUCCUGAGGCCUGGCUCCGCACGGAGGCUCCUGGGUCCCGCGCGCCCUCUCCCUACCGGUUAUAGCCAGAGCUGCUUCACACAUCUCAGCCGGCUUCCUCUUCCGCCUCUGCCACCUCUUCCUCCCCAGCUCGUGGGAAAGACCUAGCCUCCUCUCCAACACUUGGAGAGGGAGUUGGAUGAACGUCUCCUAACCCCAGUAGGACAGAGAUCCUGAGGUAGGAGGGGACCCCUUGCCUUGCUGCUUCUUUUGGCACCGCUGACCCGGGCCCAGGACUCCUCGCUCCUCCUGGAAGGCCUGGGUCGUGUAGCCCACAGAGGUGGCCACGUGGGCAUCUCCCCCACUGCUCCUCAUAGAACCGGAGGCAUUAUCCUGCCGGGCCCACUCUUACCCAUGAAAGAAACUUGGGAAAUGCUCCCGGGGAAGCCGGGGAUCUGGGCGCUCGACCACUUCGGUGUGAAUCUUCCGUCCGCUCAUCCUUCCUUCGGAGGGUCUUGGGGAGAGGAGAAAUGCUCAAGGACGAUGCGCUUUGCAGCGUCUCAAGGGAAACUAGAUCUCAACGGAUACCAGAAGUCUGGAGCGUCUUCCUGGAGGAAGGCGGCCCGAGGCCUGCGGUUGCAGGGAGGCUUGCGGAGCACAGCGCCCUCUCUCAGCCUGAGCUAUCCAGUGGCUUCCAGCAUCCCAGCUGGCCGACUCCACUUCCUCUCUCUUCCUCCUACUGCGGGUCUUCUUCUUCUCUUUGGGGACCGAAUCUCGCUCUGUCGCCCAGGCUGGAGUGCAGUGGCGCGAUCUCGGCUUACUGCAACCUCCGCCUCCCGGGUUGAAGCGAUUCUCCUGCCUCAGCCUCCCGAAUAGCUGGGACUACAGGCGCGUGCCACCACGCCCGGCUAAUUUUUUGUAUUUUUAGUUGAGACGGGGUUUCACCCUGUUAGCCAGGAUGGUCUCGAUCUCCUGGCCUCUUGAUCCGCCCGCCUCGGCCUCCCAAAGUGCUGGGAUUACAGGCGUGAGCCUCCGCGCCCGGCCUACUGCGGCUCUUCUAUCCUGGUGUUCUUUGAAUGCCUAUCUUCCUUUUGUGCCACAGAACCUCUCACGCCCGCCACAGGUUGCUCAUUUCCUUGGUUGUUCUGAACUUUAAAUAAGUUAAUGUAUGUAAGAGUGCCAUAAAUGCUCAGUAAUUGACAUCUGUUAUUUUCAUCAGUAACAUCAUCUGAAUCAUCUGUAUUGUCUAUUUUUAACAACUGCAUUUUUCAUUGUCCAAAUAAAGUCACAUACAUUUGAACAUUAUAUAAUGAUUGAAUAAUAAAAUUAUUCUGCUAUUUUACAAUAAAAA